rnacentral:lncRNA from 1 species
CAAAUUUUCAAAGAAUUUUAAUCCUGUUUCAAUGUCUUUAAUGGUCACGUGGAGGGAAAGAAGAGAGGGAAGGACCUGAACCAGCCAAUAAUUACACUAAAUGAGGUAAAAAAAUUCAAUUACCUGGACUUGAAAGGUAAGAAGUUUUUCUUUUCCCUUUGAUACACAGAUUUUUCUCAUUUAGGCCUGAUCUAAAAACCUCAUAUAUUAGACACCCCACCACAUUCCCCAUUUAUCUUAUACCUCAUCACUUGCCUUAGUAUCUGCAAUUUGUGGUUAGGUUGCUAUUUCUUAUAAGUGGCUCUCCACUCAGGUGGGGAGAGUGCCCCAUUCCCCCCAGUGCCCCUUCCCAGUCACCAGUCUGCCCCACACGGCUGUGGGAAUUAGCCAGGGCUACCAGGCUGCGGUGAAAAUAGGGGGACUCUCUCCAGCUCGGGGCUUCUGGCUAGAAAUUAGACUGUAUGCUCCUUGUGGGCAGGGAAUGUGUCUGUUUAGUGUUAUAUUGUACUCUCCCAAGUGCUUAAUACAGUGCUUUGUACACAGUGAGCACUCAAUAAAUACAAUGAAAUGAACGAAUGCAUGAAUGAAAGUUUUGGGCAGGAAACGUGUCCACCAAGUCUGUUAUACUCUACUCUUCUAAACAGUAAAUACAGUGGUCUGCGCACAAUUAGCGCUCAAUAAAUAUGAUUGAUUGAGGAAGACCUUCCAAGAUAAACUCAAAGAGUAUUCAGGAAGAAGAUUGAGGUGCCACCACCCUGAGGCUCCUUGCACUAGAUAACCUGCAUUGCUCUCUGGUAACACUGCUUUCCCUGAGGGAGCCCAAGAGGCCAAGAAGAAGCUGCUCAACACUUCACCUUGGACUCGAGGACCUUCUCAAUCCCUCAAAAAUGGACCUUCACUCCUUUGAGACUACAGAUUGCCAGGGGAACUGAGAGGAGAGGUCAGGUGUCUAAAGAAUUGACUAGGUCAAGACCGACCAUCCACCGGCUGUUCCACUGGAUGCAAACUUCUUGGAGUAACCACGGCCACGGGGACCUUCACAGUGCAGCAUGGAUCUCCUUCGCCUCUGAUGUCUCCCUCGUCUCUGGAGUCUCCCACACCUCAAUAUACCUAAAAUAGAACUCUUUAUCUUUCCACCCAAACCCUAUAUAUAUCUGCUAUUUAUUUUUUAUUAAUUUAUUAUAAUAUCUGUCUCCCCCCUCUAGCAUUAAGCUCACUGUGGGAGAGCACUGUGUGUCAUGAUUGUUCAUUCAGUCAUUCAUUCGAUAGUAUUUUUUACAGAGCACUGUACCAAGCUCUUGGAAAGUACAAUUCAGCAAUAAAGACAGACAAUCCCUGCGCACACCGGGCUUCAAGCUUGUUAUGCUGUACUCUCCCUAGUGCUUUGUUCAGUGCUCUGCAUACAGUAAGCAUUCAGUAAAAAUGAUGGAUUGGCCCAGAUAGCAAUGGUGAGUAUUGAUUGCUGGGGCUCCUGGGGCCACAAGUGGAUCAUGGGACUAGGGGGCUUGGAUAAUUAUGGCCCCUGGGAGCCAAAGUAGGUUAUUUCACCCCUUGGAGGCCCAAGUGAUUUAUUAUGCACCCCGGGCAGGUUGGCAAUUGGUUCUUUGGGGUCCUCAGGGGCUGGAGUGAGUCACUGGGGCCCCCGAGGCACUCAGGUGUGUUAUUAUGCCACCUGUGGCAGGGGGAGUGACAUGGGUCUGGUUAUUGGGGCUCUUGGAGCCUCAAAUGGAGUAUUGAGGCCACUGGGCACCAAAGUGGGAUAUUGGGACCCCCAAGUGCCCAACUGAAUUAUUGGGGUCCCUGUAGGCCCGAGUGGGUUAUUUGGGACCCCAGGGCCCCAAAUGGCUUAUUGGGCACCCAAGUGAGUUACUGGGACUCCUGGGAGCCCAUGUGGCCAACUGGGACCCCUGCGGGCCAAAAUGGAUUAUUAGGACCCCCAGGAUGACAAGUGAUUAUUACGCCCCCACUCCCCCCGGGGGAAAAGAAGAUUGAUUCUCUGCCGGGGGAGGGGGCACCAGAGGGCGCUAGAGAGGCGCAGCUACCCAGACCAAUGCCUACAGCCACGAGGGGCUGAUAGAGAAGCACACACAGCUUCACAGAACAAGCCUACUGCAGUACCAUUCUAUCCUGCCACCAGGCGGCGAUAGAG